rnacentral:tRNA from 1 species
AGCCCUGAGGUGUUAACAUAUAAGAUUGCAAAUCUUAAGAAGUAGGCUAGUCGCCUACCGGGGCUU